AUUGAACGCUGGCGGCAGGCCUAACACAUGCAAGUCGAACGGUAGCACAGAGAGCCUGCUCUCGGGUGACGAGCGGCGGACGGGUGAGUAAUGUCUGGGAAACUGCCCGAUGGAGGGGGAUAACUACUGGAAACGGUAGCUAAUACCGCAUAACGUCGCAAGACCAAAGAGGGGGACCUUCGGGCCUCUUGCCAUCGAAUGGGCCCAGAUGGGAUUAGCUAGUAGGUGGGGUAACGGCUCACCUAGGCGACGAUCCCUAGCUGGUCUGAGAGGAUGACCAGCCACACUGGAACUGAGACACGGUCCAGACUCCUACGGGAGGCAGCAGUGGGGAAUAUUGCACAAUGGGCGCAAGCCUGAUGCAGCCAUGCCGCGUGUAUGAAGAAGGCCUUCGGGUUGUAAAGUACUUUCAGCGGGGAGGAAGGCGAUAAGGUUAAUAACCUUGUCGAUUGACGUUACCCGCAGAAGAAGCACCGGCUAACUCCGUGCCAGCCGCCGCAGUAA
rnacentral:rRNA from 1 species